rnacentral:ncRNA from 2 species
GGACGAUACUCUGGAGAGAUCCGUUAAAUCGGGCGCCGAAGGAGCAAAACCUGUCAAAGGUUGAAACUCUCAGGCAAAAGGACAGAGGGGAUGGA